rnacentral:misc_RNA from 1 species
UCCUGUGUUCUCUGGCUCAAGCUCAAAAACGUGUUGUGCUGCAACUUCACCCACUUCAACAUUACCAUGUAUUACACAAGCACCAAGCAAUGCACCCCAAACAGCAUGGCUAGGUACAAAAGGCAUUGUUCUAAUAAGNUGCUUCAUCCAAUCGACCUGCACGACCAAGCAGAUCAACAAUGCAAGUGUAGUGAUCAUCAUGAGGUUGCAUCUUGUGGUCUUUGAGCAUGAAUUCAAACAAACACAAACCCUCA